GCUCGUAGUUGGAUUUGUGGCUAGCGCCGUGGCGUCCAUUAAUUUGGUUCUGCCGUGGCCUUGCCAUCCUUGGGUGGAUCCUGUGUGGCAUUAGGUUGUCGUGCAGGGGAUGCCCAUCGUUUACUGUGAAAAAAUUAGAGUGUUCAAAGCAGGCUUAUGCCGUUGAAUAUAUUAGCAUGGAAUAAUAAGAUAGGUCUUUGGUCCUAUUUUGUUGGUUUGCGGGCCGGAGAAAUGAUUAACAGGGACAGUUGGGGGUAUUCGUAUUCCAUUGUCAGAGGUGAAAUUCUUGGAUUUCUGGAAGACGAACUACUGCGAAAGCAUUUACCAAGGAUGUUUUCAUUAAUCAAGAACGAAAGUU
rnacentral:rRNA from 1 species